ensembl:lncRNA
CCACUCUGCCUGGCAUUCUAAAGCUUUUGAAUAGUACUAAGGGAAGGCUCUUUUUACCACCCUUGCCACAACUUCAGUAACUGGAAUUGUGGGAAGAGUUGGAGGGCGUUGCUUAGAAAUGGGAUUGUAGAAGAACUCUACCAGCACUAUGGAAUCCAGAAUCCAUUUCUGCUGCUUAUACAUAAAGAAAUACAAAUAAUCAAGGCUUCUGCCUAAGUUCUGAAUUCAGAGCCUGGGCCAGAGGUCCUGAGUCACACAGAACACGCCAAAUCAGCCCGCUGCACACAGGAAGGUCUGUGCAUGCCCUUCUGAGGUCCUGAGUCACGUGGAAGACACUG